GUGUGUGUGCUGAUGACUGACUUGCACUGAUGGUUUCAAAAUUGGUGUCACCGUCCACUCCUUUCAGCCAUGGCACCUGAGCUUGGUGCUAAUGUGCUGCUGCUCACUGCUUAUUUUCUAUUCACUCCACUCACCAGGCUUGAUACUGGGACUACUGUGAAUACUGGUUAAUUUCAUAUCUGCUGCUGCCACCAUUGGAGAAAAUUUUGUCCAAGGUUACUACUAUUUUAAACUUUGAAGCGUCACUUGUGUGUUAGACUCGUUGGCUGGCUGUGAUGCUGGUGAUGGAUGAGCUGCUGCAUUAUGUGAUAAGAGUUUGAAGGACUCCCCAAUUGGUUUGCUUUAUU